rfam:Epilithonimonas sp. FH1 contig07, whole genome shotgun sequence.
CCCUAGCCCUGAUUGGAGUGGAAAUCCCACAGCAAGCCCUUCAACAGGCUCAGGACAGGCUGGCUUGCGAGGAAUUGCAACGGAAAGCAGGUUCCCGG